UGUCCGUGAUGAGAAACAUUAUCAAUCAGUUCUGCUUCUGAACCCCUGAUGACUCCUAAUUACCAUACCAAGAUCUCUGAUAC
rnacentral:snoRNA from 1 species